rnacentral:lncRNA from 1 species
CCGCCGUGUAGGCAAGUGGCGCACGAUCCGACAAGCGACGAGGCGUCGCAGCGGUAAAGGGCGGCGGUGCCGAUACCGGCAGUGUCACUGCCGUCGUCAGGACGACAAUAGAUCCGGGGUGGGCGCACAUGCCGUGAACUGCGAGGGCGCUGUCCUGGAGCGACCACGACUGCGCGAGCAGGGUGUCGCACGACCCCGGCUUGCCCUGGACAGCCUGAAUGACGAGGGCAAUGGCCACGUCGACGACGGCCAACUGACGGCCGCCGACACACACAUACUGCGUCGCGUUCUGGACGAUGCGCGCCAUCGGGUGUAUGCGGCGCGACGGGCGACAGCGCACAGGCACCGGGCACGUGGCCGCCAGCCGGCGAUCGGCAUGUGUUGGCGGUGUCGCCGAAGCGGCAGCCGCCUCGUGCUGGUCCUCACAAAGGCCCGCCGGCCGAGGCGGUGUAUCGUCUGCGCGCUGGCAAACAUGCCCUUGCGUGGGCUGGCUCUGGACGAGCGCGCGGCGCUUGCGCGACACAUUCGUCGUCGGCGGUUCUGCCAGUUGCGAGUGUGCGGUCGCCAAAGGGUCUCGGGCGACGAUCACGUCGUGUCUGGGCAUAGGACAGAGAGGCAAGUCGAGUCGCUCCAUGGAUCGAAAGGACGAGUAUCGAUGGGUCAGCCGCGGCCGUGGGGAUACAAACCAAGAAAAAAAAAAGACAAAACACCGACCACGAGGUACCAUCACCACCCUAUAGGGCGGCGGCACCUCGUUGACGCAACCAAUCGCAAACCAAAGGCGCGCCCUUUUGGCGCUCUUGUUUUUUGCGCAUACUGUGCCAAAACCUGCUCUUUUGCGUGGGUAUUUU